AAUGAAUUGACGGGGGCCCGCACAAGCGGUGGAGCAUGUGGUUUAAUUCGAUGCAACGCGAAGAACCUUACCUACCCUUGACAUCCAGAGAACUUACCAGAGAUGGUUUGGUGCCUUCGGGAACUCUGAGACAGGUGCUGCAUGGCUGUCGUCAGCUCGUGUUGUGAAAUGUUGGGUUAAGUCCCGCAACGAGCGCAACCCUUGUCCUAUGUUGCCAGCGGUAUGCGCGGGAACUCAUGGGAGACUGCCGGUGAUAAACCGGAGGAAGGUGGGGACGACGUCAAGUCAUCAUGGCCCUUACGGGUAGGGCUACACACGUGCUACAAUGGUCAGUACAAAGGGUUGCCAACUAGCGAUAGUGAGCCAAUCCCAUAAAGCUGGUCGUAGUCCGCAUAAGAAUAAACAACUCCACUC
rnacentral:rRNA from 1 species